UACGAAGGGGGCUAGCGUUGCUCGGAAUCACUGGGCGUAAAGGGUGCGUAGGCGGGUCUUUAAGGCAGAGGUGAAAUCCUGGAGCUCAACUCCAGAACUGCCUUUGAUACUGAGGAUCUUGAGUAUGGGAGAGGUGAGUGGAACUGCGAGUGUAGAGGUGAAAUUCGUAGAUAUUCGCAAGAACACCAGUGGCGAAGGCGGCUCACUGGCCCAUUACUGACGCUGAGGCACGAAAGCGUGGGGAGCAAACAGG
rnacentral:rRNA from 1 species